GCUGACACAUCCCUGCCAAUCUCCGGCAGACCCUCCCUCCCAGACCCUCCUACUUCCUCGACAGCAUCCAUGUUGAAGGCAGCUUCAACACGGAUGCUGGCCAGGAGGUGGGAGGGUCUGGGAGGGAGGGUCUGCCGGAGAUUGGCAGGGAUGUGUCAG
rnacentral:miRNA from 1 species